GAAACAGCCCAGACCACCAGCUAAGGUCCCAAAAUAUAUGUUAAGUGGAAAAGGAUGUGGCGUUGCCCAGACAACUAGGAUGUUGGCUUAGAAGCAGCCAUCAUUUAAAGAGUGCGUAAUAGCUCACUAGUCGAGUGACACUGCGCCGAAAAUGUACCGGGGCUAAACAUAUUACCGAAGCUGUGGAUUGUCCUUUGGACAAUGGUAGGAGAGCGUUCUAAGGGCGUUGAAGCAUGAUCGUAAGGACAUGUGGAGCGCUUAGAAGUGAGAAUGCCGGUGUGAGUAGCGAAAGACGGGUGAGAAUCCCGUCCACCGAUUGACUAAGGUUUCCAGAGGAAGGCUCGUCCGCUCUGGGUUAGUCGGGUCCUAAGCUGAGGCCGACAGGCGUAGGCGAUGGAUAACAGGUUGAUAUUCCUGUACCACCUAUAAUCGUUUUAAUCGAUGGGGGGACGCAGUAGGAUAGGCGAAGCGUGCGAUUGGAUUGCACGUCUAAGCAGUAAGGCUGAGUAUUAGGCAAAUCCGGUACUCGUUAAGGCUGAGCUGUGAUGGGGAGAAGACAUUGUGUCUUCGAGUCGUUGAUUUCACACUGCCGAGAAAAGCCUCUAGAUAGAAAAUAGGUGCCCGUACCGCAAACCGACACAGGUAGUCAAGAUGAGAAUUCUAAGGUGAGCGAGCGAACUCUCGUUAAGGAACUCGGCAAAAUGACCCCGUAACUUCGGGAGAAGGGGUGCUCUUUAGGGUUAACGCCCAGAAGAGCCGCAGUGAAUAGGCCCAAGCGACUGUUUAUCAAAAACACAGGUCUCUGCUAAACCGUAAGGUGAUGUAUAGGGGCUGACGCCUGCCCGGUGCUGGAAGGUUAAGAGGAGUGGUUAGCUUCUGCGAAGCUACGAAUCGAAGCCCCAGUAAACGGCGGCCGUAACUAUAACGGUCCUAAGGUAGCGAAAUUCCUUGUCGGGUAAGUUCCGACCCGCACGAAAGGCGUAACGAUUUGGGCACUGUCUCAACGAGAGACUCGGUGAAAUCAUAGUACCUGUGAAGAUGCAGGUUACCCGCGACAGGACGGAAAGACCCCGUGGAGCUUUACUGUAGCCUGAUAUUGAAAUUCGGCACAGCUUGUACAGG
rnacentral:rRNA from 1 species